CCCCCCCCCCGAUACAAAAUCUGCCCCGUGAACGUGUGUAUUGACGCCUCUACACAGCCAAAACCCCCCUCCAGCUUUCAGUCUGAGGAAGAUGUCACCUUCUCUGACCUGGUCCCCGACCAUUCUUCCCACUUCUCACCUGCCAGUCCGCCCCACUCUCAGUGGUCCUCUCACUUCACCUUUGCUGACUUUCCCAUGUCCCCAGGACGCACCCCAUUUUCUUCCCCCCACCACUCUCCUCAAGAUUAUGCACCCACCAGUCCUGUGAAUUAUCAAUAAAACUACAUAUUACUCAUACUAAGUGUCCCUCAUGUUUAUUUCAUGUCAUUUUUAUCCACAACACAGCCCACCUGAAGUACAUCGACAAUGUCUCGAGAGUCCUUGAAUGGAUGAAAUCAUUGUGCCAGCGGUACAAGGUCACUCCGGCCAAGGUAUUUCUGACGCGUGUUUCCAAGUUCCUCCAUUAACUUGAUGAGAGGCUGUCCGAGGGCCGAGUUGGCUCCACGAGGCUGUGGAGUCUCCAGAGACUGCUGCAGUGGGAGUGCAGACAUCUGUCCGGUCGAGUCGUGCUCCACAGGCAAGGCGUGCGAGCGGAGAAGAGUGAGGGAGUACUUACAGCUCCUGCACGGCAAACUGUCGGACGCUGUCCCUGUUUCACUGGCUGAUCUGAACUCGUCCAGCAGACCCGGACAUGCUCAACCGUUGCAUCGGGCUGCUGUGUGCUCACUUCUUUUCGGUCAGCAGACAGGACCGGAGUCCUGCAGAACCUCACUACUGAGGAGUUUGAGAACCUCGAGAAGGCUGACUCUUUCUGAUCAAUGUGAAGCAGCACAAACCUGCCUCUGCUUUUGGACUCGCUAAGCUAGCCGUCACCAAGCUGGAGCUGAAGUGGCUGAAAGCUUUCUGCCACCUGAGGAAGCAUAUGCCGGGAUAUGAGACUUCUGUGGGGUGGCUUUUCUUUUCUGGCACACAGGCCAGGAUUUCUGCGCAUGUCAAGCUUGCCCUGCGGGCACUCGUGGGAAGAGACAUCACUGUGUCGGACAUCCCCACAGCUCUAGCAACCUACUGCGAACGCAAAAGAUGAACAACGCAUGCUCGUGACCAAGACGAUGUGCUACAGCAAUUAGCUGAGUCGUGGAGCUGUCGGUCAGCGAGGCGCACUCCGCCCAGUCUGCGCUAGAGUCCGCUGCGGGCAUAGGUGCUACAUAGGCCGGUUGUUUUUGGCUAAUGGCCCUGUGUGUGUGUGUGUGUGUGUGUGUGUGUGUGUGUGUGUGUGUGUGUGUGUGUGUGUGU